rnacentral:rRNA from 1 species
UACCAGCACCCCCGAGUGGUCGGGACGAUUAUUGGGCCGUAAAGACAUCCGUAGCCGGUUUUGUCAAGUCUUCCGUUAAAUCCACCUGCUUAACAGAUGGGCUGCGGAGGAUACUACAAGGCUAGGAGGCGGGAGAGGCAAGCGGUACUCAGUGGGUAGGGGUAAAAUCCUCUGAUCCAUUGAAGACCACCAGUGGCGAAGGCGGCUUGCCAGAACGCGCUCGACCGUGAGGGAUGAAAGCUGGGGGGAGC